UGCCCAGCAAUACCUAUCCCUACCUCCUCGUGGUACUGGCCGGGGUACGAGUAACCUUGGGGAAGAUCCGGUAACCAAUCCCGGUGCGAACUUUGGUCGUAUGCUGACAGAGAAACGG
rnacentral:ribozyme from 1 species